CCGACCCGUCUUGAAACACGGACCAAGGAGUCUGACAUGCGUGCGAGUCGACGGGUUUUGAAACCUGGGAUGCGCAAGGAAGCUGACGAGCGGGAGGCCCUCACGGGCCGCACCGCUGGCCGACCCUGAUCUUCUGCACAGGGUUCGAGUUGGAGCACGCCUGUCGGGACCCGAAAGAUGGUGAACUAUGCCUGAGCGGGGCGAAGCCAGAGGAAACUCUGGUGGAGGCUCGAAGCGAUACUGACGUGCAAAUCGUUCGUCUGACUUGGGUACAGGGGCGAAAGACUAAUCGA
rnacentral:ncRNA from 1 species